GGACCCGCACAAGUAGUGGAGCAUGUGGUUUAAUUCGAAGAUACGCGCAGAACCUUACCAACACUUGACAUGUUCGUCGCGACUUUAAGAGAUUAAAGUUUUCGGUUCGGCCGGACGAAACACAGGUGCUGCAUGGCUGUCGUCAGCUCGUGUCGUGAGAUGUUGGUUAAGUCCCGCAACGAGCGCAACCCUCACUUUUAGUUGCCAUCAUUAAGUUGGGCACUCUGAAAGAACUGCCAGUGAUAAGCUGGAGGAAGGUGGGGAUGACGUCAAGUCCUCAUGGCCCUUACGUGUUGGGCUACACACGUGCUACAAUGGGGUGACAAAGAGUUGCCAAGCUGCGAAGCUGCGCAAA
rnacentral:rRNA from 1 species